GUUAGGAAUAUUGGACAAUGGGCGCAAGCCUGAUCCAGCCAUGCCGCGUGAGUGAUGAAGGCCUUCGGGUUGUAAAGCUCUUUAGUCCACGAAUAUAAUGACUGUAGUGGAAGAAUAAGCCCCGGCUAACUUCGUGCCAGCAGCCGCGGUAAUACGAAGGGGGCGAGCGUUAUUCGGAAUCACUGGGCGUAAAGCGUGCGUAGGCUGUUUUGUAAGUCAGAAGUGAAAGCCCAGGGCUUAACCAUGGAAUUGCUUUUGAAACUACAAGACUCGAAUUCGGGAGAGGAUAGCGGAAUUGUCAGUGUAGCAGUGAAAUGCGUAGAUAUUGACAGGAACACCAGUGGCGCAAGCGGCUAUCUGGACCGAUAUUGACGCUGAGGCACGAAAGCGUGGGGAGCAAACAGGAUUAGAAACCCCGGUAGUCC
rnacentral:rRNA from 1 species